UUAAAGAGCAAGUAACGUCUAAAUUAACUUUUUUUUGCUGAUGAACUGUAUAAAUGAGUGUCUAAUAGUGUUUUAAAUGUGUGUAUUCAUUAUUUUAGCAUUUUGGUGCAUUUUCUUUAAAAAUUAAAAAUUCUGCCUAAAUACCACAGUAUAGCUCCACCUUCAGCUUAAAACAUAGAAUUUGACUCAUUUUGAAUAAAUUUUAGCCAAUGGCUAAAGAGUAAGAUACUACGUAAACCAGUAGAGUACUACGUAGCAGCUCUGUGUCAAAGUUAUAAAAGCAUCGGGAGUCUCGGCCACGCCUUGUGGCGAGUUGGGAGUUGGAUUUGCAUGCGAGUGUAGGAGGCUAGCAGUAGUUCAGCAUUAGCAUAUAGCAUUAGCAUAUCCUAGUCUUUAGCAUAGUUUUUAGUGUUAUACAUACUUAUUUAGUGUUAGCUUGGCUGUUGGAUAUUGUAGUUUAGUUACUGUUUGGCUGUUAGUGUAAUUAGGAAAGUAGUUCGGGUUUAGUGCUCCAUAUCGUGUUGGUAUGGUGAGAUGGUGUAGUGUAGUAUGGUUGCGGAGCUCUGUCGGGUUGCACUCCUUUCCGCUGGACUUAGAAAUUAGGCGCCAGUGGUUGCGUGUCUGGAAAACAUUCAGCUCCCGCCUGGUGCUGUAGUUUGCAACCAGCAUUUUACCCGCGAUUCUGCACGUUUCCGUUCCAAGAGGGAGGCUGUGCCCACCGUGGCUCUUCCGCGAUUUAGAUACAGCCCACCGACUCUGCUCCCCCACCAUGACGGGCUCCAGUCUGAGGCUAAAUCUACCCAAGACACUGGCUGUCAGACUGAUUUAGUAAUCUGCAAGAAUGCACUUGUCCAGGCUGACGUGAAGCCUUGCCCGUAGCAAAGAGCUCACAGCCUCAGUGUCUUGUGACACAGGGACCAUGACAGAAAUUCAUCUUCCAGAAGGUCCCAGAGCAUCCACACCUCCUGAAAAGACCAAGAUGUGAGGUGUCUGCUGUUGAUUCCAGCUUCCACCUCAGUGACAGUACAAGCUCAGUGAACUGUUCAAGGAGACUCAGCAAAAUAUGGACUCUACACCAUGAGGCAGGCACACGUUAAUAACUCUAUAAGAGCACAUAAGCCUGGCUGAUCACCUGAUAACUCCUGUCAUCUGGUUAUGACAGCAUGAGGAUGUCCUCACACACCUGUAACCUAUCAGCUCAUCUGGCAGAAUAGAGAGAGAAGAGACAACACCACAUCUCCUGUUCCUGGAAAGCCUUCAGCCAUCCUUCGAUGACUGAGAACCUCCAUCAGCUCUGUCUCCUGUCUGCCUACAAUUAUUAUAAUAAAUAUUGUGUUUGACAAGUUUUUUGUGCUGCCAAAUAUCUCAUUUUGAUUCCAGUUUUGAUAUUUUAAUGGAUAUUUAUAAAUUACAUUAAUUGAAUUAUCACAUUGUCGCAUGUUUAUCUAGCUCUAUUGUGAUGAACUAAACUAGCACC